rnacentral:rRNA from 1 species
AUUGAACGCUGGCGGCAGGCCUAACACAUGCAAGUCGAGCGGAUGAAGGGAGCUUGCUCCUGGAUUCAGCGGCGGACGGGUGAGUAAUGCCUAGGAAUCUGCCUGGUAGUGGGGGAUAACGUCCGGAAACGGGCGCUAAUACCGCAUACGUCCUGAGGGAGAAAGUGGGGGAUCUUCGGACCUCACGCUAUCAGAUGAGCCUAGGUGGAUUAGCUAGUUGGUGGGGUAAAGGCCUACCAAGGCGACGAUCCGUAACUGGUCUGAGAGGAUGAUCAGUCACACUGGAACUGAGACACGGUCCAGACUCCUACGGGAGGCAGCAGUGGGGAAUAUUGGACAAUGGGCGAAAGCCUGAUCCAGCCAUGCCGCGUGUGUGAAGAAGGUCUUCGGAUUGUAAAGCACUUUAAGUUGGGAGGAAGGGCAGUAAGUUAAUACCUUGCUGUUUUGACGUUACCAACAGAAUAAGCACCGGCUAACUUCGUG